rnacentral:rRNA from 1 species
UACAGAGGGUGCAAGCGUUGUUCGGAAUUAUUGGGCGUAAAGGGCGCGUAGGCGGUGCGGUAAGUCAGAUGUGAAACCUCUGGGCUUAACUCAGAGCCUGCAGGCGAAACUGCCGUGCUUGAGUGUGGGAGAGGUGCGUGGAAUUCCCGAUGUAGCGGUGAAAUGCGUAGAUAUCAGGAGGAACACCGGUGGCGAAGGCGGCAUCCUGGACCAACACUGACACUGAGGAGCGAAAGCCAGGGGAGCAAACGGG